UACGUAGGGGGCAAGCGUUGUCCGGAUUUAUUGGGCGGAAAGAGCGUGUAGGCGGUUUGGUAGGUCCGUUGUGAAAACUCGAGGCUCAACCUCGAGACGCCGGCGGAAACCAUCAGGCUAGAGUCCGGAAGAGGAGAGUGGAAUUCCUGGUGUAGCGGUGAAAUGCGCAGAUAUCAGGAAGAACACCCGUGGCUAAGGCGGCUCUCUAGUACGGUACUGACGCUGAGACGCGAAAGCGUGGGGAGCGAACAGG
rnacentral:rRNA from 1 species